AACGAACGCUGGCGGCAUGCCUAACACAUGCAAGUCGAACGGAACCUUCGGGGCUGGUUGCGCACGGGUGCGUAACGCGUCGGACGGUGCCUUUAGGUUCGGGCUAACUCCGCGAAAUUUGGGCUAAUACCGGCGGAAGUCUUCGUACCACAGAUUUAUCGCCUCUAGAUGGGCCCGCGUUAGAUUAGCUAGUUGGUGGGGUAAAGGCCUACCAAGGCGACGAUCCUUAGCUGGGCUGAGAGGAUGAUCAGCCACACUGGGACUGAGACACGGCCCAGACUCCUACGGGAGGCAGCAGUGGGGAAUAUUCGACAAUGGGCGGAAGCCUGACCCAGCAACGCCGCGUGAGUGAUGAAGGUCUUAGGGUUGUAAAGCUCUUUUACCCGAGACGAUAAUGACAGUACCGGGAGAAUAAGCCCCGGCUAACUACGUG
rnacentral:rRNA from 1 species